rnacentral:rRNA from 1 species
AGAGUUUGAUCCUGGCUCAGAUUGAACGCUGGCGGCAUGCUUUACACAUGCAAGUCGAACGGCAGCACGGGCUUCGGCCUGGUGGCGAGUGGCGAACGGGUGAGUAAUGCGUCGGAACGCGCCGAGUAGUGGGGGAUAACGCAGCGAAAGCUGUGCUAAUACCGCAUACGUACUGAGGUAGAAAGUGGGGGACCUUCGGGCCUCACGCUAUUCGAGCGGCCGACGUCUGAUUAGCUAGCUGGUGGGGUAAAGGCUCACCAAGGCGACGAUCAGUAGCGGGUCUGAGAGGAUGAUCCGCCACACUGGGACUGAGACACGGCCCAGACUCCUACGGGAGGCAGCAGUGGGGAAUUUUGGACAAUGGGCGCAAGCCUGAUCCAGCCAUGCCGCGUGUCUGAAGAAGGCCUUCGGGUUGUAAAGGACUUUUGUCCGGGAGCAAAGCCUACUUGUUA